UAGGGAAUCUUCGGCAAUGGACGAAAGUCUGACCGAGCAACGCCGCGUGAGUGAAGAAGGUUUUCGGAUCGUAAAACUCUGUUGUUAGAGAAGAACAAGGACGUUAGUAACUGAACGUCCCCUGACGGUAUCUAACCAGAAAGCCACGGCUAACUACGUGCCAGCAGCCGCGGUAAUACGUAGGUGGCAAGCGUUGUCCGGAUUUAUUGGGCGUAAAGCGAGCGCAGGCGGUUUCUUAAGUCUGAUGUGAAAGCCCCCGGCUCAACCGGGGAGGGUCAUUGGAAACUGGGCGACUUGAGUGCAGAAGAGGAGAGUGGAAUUCCAUGUGUAGCGGUGAAAUGCGUAGAUAUAUGGAGGAACACCAGUGGCGAAGGCGGCUCUCUGGUCUGUAACUGACGCUGAGGCUCGAAAGCGUGGGGAGCAAACAGG
rnacentral:rRNA from 2 species